rnacentral:sRNA from 1 species
CAACCGGAUAGCCCGACGGGGCGAAAAGCGGGUUUCGUCAGCUCGUUUCCGGUUUUCCAUUCUGACGG